CAUAGAUACUAUUAUAAUCCUCAUUUUACAGAUGAGGAAAGUGGUAUGCAGAGAGGUGAUGUAAUUUGUCUGCAAUUACACACCAUCUGCAGUGUGAUUUGAAGCUCUUAACAAGCUCCCAAGAAACACCAAUGUUUAAGACUGCAAAGGAACUGUCAAAAUGCAAUGGAAACUAGAAGAGUUUUGAGAUGGCAAGAGUGGUCAAGAGAGCCAAAUGUUGCUGAGAGUUCAAGAGAAAGAGGUGAUUUUGUGCAGAAAUAGAUGAUACAGAAGAAAAGCAUUAGAAAGAUUCUAAAAAUAUCUCUUUGGUGAGAACUUUGCAAUCAGAACACCCCACAUCGCAUAGAAGGUUGUUACUGCUAUCCGUCCUUAAGGGAAAAACAUCACCGGUGUUAUGGCAAUGUCACUAGAGAGGUGUAAAGGUGAGAACUGAAAUGACUUUGGGAAAAGGUUUUGGAAGAUUGAGAAGAAAAAAGAGAAGCUCAGAGGAAGAGAAAGAGAAAAGAAGACGUCCUGGGCAAGCAAUUUCCUUUUAAGCAUGUGAGGCGGAAAUCAUACACAUUCUUUGUGCUUACAUCCCAGUAGAGAAAACCUGAUCACACAGCCACAAGAUGAUUCCAUCAAGCCAAGUGAUCUAGGAUUUGUUCGGCAAAUUGAUGAUUGGUGAUAUUUUCUGGAGAUACAAAGACUCAAAGUCCCUUUGAGCACAAAGAGAACGAUGCCUAUAAAUUCCAUAAAUCUCUUCAAACUGCCAGAGAAUGAAAAGCCAGAUUGCAUUCUGUGGAGACAGGAAGCACAACAAUAACUUUUGGGAGAGUUAUUGGAAGCCAAUAUACCAAGACACCAUGAUGGAUGAUCCAGAAUCAUGGGUAAAGAUGUAACCAGUGUUAAGUAAAUGGUAUCAGGGAAUUGUAGAGAUAAGAAGGUCCAUACUACUUCAUUAUGAAUAGGUUCCAAAGAGCCAUGACAUUGUAAGUAAUAAUGGUGUUAUUAACUUUUUCUUGUGGGGAUAAAUAUAAAAUUCUCUAGUAAUAAUACAUUUGAAAGUAAAGAACAGGAAGAGAUGGUUUCUGGACAUAAAAAGAUGCCUGGAGGAUCUUUGCAUGCCUUAACUGAACAGUAAACAAUUAUGUAAUCCUUGCUUUUCCAUCUGCUAGUCUAAAUUGUUAUUGAUAUAUAGUAAUACCUCAUGUAGGGCCAUGAGUUUUGUGUUACUUAUUUUAAUUAAAAUGUUUACAUUGGCAGAGACCCACCAGAAGUAUUUCUCCAGGGCCCUGACUACCCUUCAGGGUGCACUGCCCUCUGGAAUAUUUAGAGAGAUAAAGGAUUUUAGGAAGUUUUUGUUGCAUAUCAUAAAAGGACUUUCCUUUUGGUGCCUCUUCAAGAAAUUUUAUUCAUGAUUUAAAUAAUUUUUCUGUAUGUCAGAUUGAUAUAUCCUGUACAAACCACACCAAAUUUACAAAUGAGAAAGUUCAGAGGAAAAAAAGAUUUUCUAGAGAUUGCUCAGCACUAAAGAAUGAAGCUAAGGUUUUUGUCAAGAUUUAUCUGAUUCUAAAAGUCAUUGUCUCCACCACACUGAACACACCUUAUUCUUCUUCUGAUGAGUAAUUCAGGCUGCCCAAUUUUGGUGGAAGUGAGCUUUUGCUUUACUAUGAUACCAAAACAAUCUCGAAUUAAUUUGAUUGCUUACAUGUUAUUCACUAAUAGAGAAUAAAAUCACUAGGAUCGUUAGGUCAGAUAUUUUCAGCAGUUGUCUUGUAAAUCAAUGAGCAUUUGUUGCUGUUGGUUUGAUUGGGCUCACAUAUUCUCUAGAGUCCUGCCAUCAUCUUGCAAUGACAUAAUUAAGUUUCUCUGUGCAAAUAUUGAGGAUUCGGGUCUGGACACAUUUCUCUUAUGUUAGGUUUCUGAGUCCUCAGGCAACUCUGACUAUAUAGACAUCUAUUGAUCUUUCUUUUAGGCAGCUUGACAGUAUAGCCAUCUAUUGUCUUUUCUAUUUAUCUAAUUUAUCUAAAAUUAUCUUAAUUUUAACAUAGCCAGGAC
rnacentral:lncRNA from 1 species